GACGAUGACGCCCCCGAAAUUCGCAUGUCGUCGCUCACCGGUGAUAUCGCCGUCGCAUGCUGAGGAGGGACCUCGCGCUCAUUCCCGUAGGAACCAUAGGCCGGCGGUUGUUGCGAAGAGAGGCUUAGGGAGAGACCCUGCUGGGAGCGUGGAGUAUCACGCGCCGCCGCAGUGGUAUCAAUUGAGCUCCAGAGAUUGUAGUGAGGGCGCUGGAUGAAGCCAGGAAGCCCUGGGAUCUCAUGGUGGGCGUGCACGGAUGGAGGACUGGGAUCCGAUGAGGCGGAGGGGGCAGUGGCCGAUAGUGGGAUGGAGACGAACUGCUGGGUCUGAGGCGGCGGCGCGUGGGAAAGGUUGGAGGGAGCGAGUGAAGCUGCGGCAGAAUUGAGGAAGACGAAAUUGGGGUGCAGCGGAGGGGGCGGUGGCGCGUCCGAGUAUCCAACGUAGGCAGGGUUCAUGAGAAUGAGAGUCUGUAACCCAUCAGCUUGGAUUUCUGAAUUCCCAUGAAAGUACGUCG
rnacentral:lncRNA from 1 species